AAGGUGGAAUUUGAACUCAGGCUUUCCUGACUCAGAAUCCACAACUCUGUCCACAAUGCCAUACUGCUCCUCCAAUAAUAACAGGUAGCCUUUACCGAGUGACUUAAAAUUUGCACAUCUCCUCAUAUAUGUUAUCUCUUUUGACUCUUACCAUAAUCCUCUGAAAUAGUGCUUUUAUUAUUUCUAUUUUACAGAUGAAAGAACUGAGGAGGAGAGAUUCACAAAGCUGACAAAAUGUAAAGAAAAAGAAAGAGAGGAAGGAAGGAAGGAAGGAAGGAAGGAAGGAAGGAAGGAAGGAAGGAAGGAAAGAAGGAAAGAAAGAAGGAAGGAAGACCAAAAGCUCUUGGCCAGAUGUUUUGCAUCAACUAUUUUAUUUACAAGAGUUCAAGGAAUCACAUAAUACAAAUUCUAUUGUUUAGUCAUUUUUAGUUGUCCAACUCUUUGUGACUUCUUGAAGUUUUCUUGGAGUGGUUUACCAUUUCUUUCCCCAGUUUAUUUGAAAGAUUAGGUAACUGAGACAAACAGAAGUAAAUUACUUGCUCAGGGUUACACAGCUAGUAAAUAUGUAAGACUGGAUUUGAACUCUGGUCUCUAUUCAUUGCACCAAACUCUCUAUGGGUUGGCCAAUUACAAGCUGAUAUAGAUCACAAUGUUUGACUUGGAUGGUUUUAACAGAAAAGUAUAAUGUGGAAACCAGAACAUUGAACUUGGGACUGUAGAAUCUGAGUUCAAAUCCCUAUCCUCCUAUUUACUACCUGUGUAACUUUGGACAAAUUAUUUAACUUCCUUGGAUAUCAGUUUUCUCAUCUGUAAAUUAAAAGAGAAGGACUCUUAAUCUUUUUUGUGUCAUGGACAUUUUUGGAAUUCUGUUGAAACCUAUUGGCCCUUUCUUAGAAUAAUGUUUUUAAUUGUAUAAUUAUAUAAUAUAUAUAUAUAUAUAUUACAAACAAACCAAUUAUGUUAAUAUAUAAUUCUCUUUUUUUUAAGUUAAUGAACUCUAAGUUAAGGAUACCUGGAGACUCUAGAUGACCUUUUAGGUCCUUUCCAACACUAAAGUUAUGAAAAAUCUGGUUUCCAAGUUUCAACUUGCUUCACUUCUAAGAUUGCCUAGCCAGUCUUUCUCAGCCUUAUAAGACCAUGAAGCAAUAAAGUCUUUUCCAGAUAGUAUGUAGGUUUGGAU
ensembl:lncRNA